GCCGGCAUGGCAUAGUGGUUUAAGUGUCAGGCUGCCAUUCUGGAGACCAGGGUUCGGUUCCCAGCUCAGCCA